AUGCAUUCUGGCAAGGGAGACACCAUGAUUGUGAAAAUGGUUUUCCCAGGGUGAGGCUCACCCAUAACAGUCUGGGUGUGCUGAUCCCUGCAAUUCCCCCAAAUGUGGGAAAUUUGACUGCAUAAUUUGUGUUAUUGGGAGGACUGUGUUCUUGCUUUCCCCUU